GAAUGCUGACAUAAGUAACGAUAAAGCGGGUGAAAAGCCCGCUCGCCGGAAGACCAAGGGUUCCUGUCCAACGUUAAUCGGGGCAGGGUGAGUCGACCCCUAAGGCGAGGCCGAAAGGCGUAGUCGAUGGGAAACAGGUUAAUAUUCCUGUACUUGGUGUUACUGCGAAGGGGGGACGGAGAAGGCUAUGUUAGCCGGGCGACGGUUGUCCCGGUUUAAGCAUGUAGGCUGGUUAUCCAGGCAAAUCCGGAUAAUCAAGGCUGAGGUGUGAUGACGAGGCACUACGGUGCUGAAGUAACAAAUGCCCUGCUUCCAGGAAAAGCCUCUAAGCAUCAGGUAACAUCAAAUCGUACCCCAAACCGACACAGGUGGUCAGGUAGAGAAUACCAAGGCGCUUGAGAGAACUCGGGUGAAGGAACUAGGCAAAAUGGUGCCGUAACUUCGGGAGAAGGCACGCUGGUGUGUAGGUGAAGCCCCUGCGGGUGGAGCUGAGACCAGUCGAAGAUACCAGCUGGCUGCAACUGUUUAUUAAAAACACAGCACUGUGCAAACACGAAAGUGGACGUAUACGGUGUGACGCCUGCCCGGUGCCGGAAGGUUAAUUGAUGGGGUUAUCCGUAAGGAGAAGCUCUUGAUCGAAGCCCCGGUAAACGGCGGCCGUAACUAUAACGGUCCUAAGGUAGCGAAAUUCCUUGUCGGGUAAGUUCCGACCUGCACGAAUGGCGUAAUGAUGGCCAGGCUGUCUCCACCCGAGACUCAGUGAAAUUGAACUCGCUGUGAAGAUGCAGUGUACCCGCGGCAAGACGGAAAGACCCCGUGAACCUUUACUAUAGCUUGACACUGAACAUUGAGCCUUGAUGUGUAGGAUAGGUGGGAGGCUUUGAAGCGUGGACGCCAGUCUGCGUGGAGCCAACCUUGAAAUACCACCCUUUAAUGUUUGAUGUUCUAACGUUGGCCCCUUAUCGGGGUUGCGGACAGUGUCUGGUGGGUAGUUUGACUGGGGCGGUCUCCUCCCAAAGCGUAACGGAGGAGCACGAAGGUUAGCUAAUCCUGGUCGGACAUCAGGAGGUUAGUGCAAUGGCAUAAGCUAGCUUGACUGCGAGCGUGACGGCGCGAGCAGGUGCGAAAGCAGGUCAUAGUGAUCCGGUGGUUCUGAAUGGAAGGGCCAUCGCUCAACGGAUAAAAGGUACUCCGGGGAUAACAGGCUGAUACCGCCCAAGAGUUCAUAUCGACGGCGGUGUUUGGCACCUCGAUGUCGGCUCAUCACAUCCUGGGGCUGAAGUAGGUCCCAAGGGUAUGGCUGUUCGCCAUUUAAAGUGGUACGCGAGCUGGGUUUAGAACGUCGUGAGACAGUUCGGUCCCUAUCUGCCGUGGGCGCUGGAGAAUUGAGGGGGGCUGCUCCUAGUACGAGAGGACCGGAGUGGACGCAUCACUGGUGUUCGGGUUGUCAUGCCAAUGGCACUGCCCGGUAGCUAAAUGCGGAAGAGAUAAGUGCUGAAAGCAUCUAAGCACGAAACUUGCCCCGAGAUGAGUUCUCCCUGAGACUUUAAGUC
rnacentral:rRNA from 1 species